UACGGAGGGCGCGAGCGUUACCCGGAUUUACUGGGCGUAAAGGGCGUGUAGGCGGCUUGGGGCGUCGCAUGUGAAAGGCCACGGCUCAACCGUGGAGGAGCGUGGGAUACGCUCAGGCUAGACGGUGGGAGAGGGUGGUGGAAUUCCCGGAGUAGCGGUGAAAUGCGCAGAUACCGGGAGGAACGCCGAUGGCGAAGGCAGCCACCUGGUCCACAUGUGACGCUGAGGAGCGAAAGCGUGGGGAGCAAACCGG
rnacentral:rRNA from 1 species